CAGGGUAUAGCUCAAAUGGUAUAGCACAUGCUUGGCAUGCAUGAGGUUCUGGAUUCAAUCUCCAGUACCUUCU
rfam:Camelus ferus unplaced genomic scaffold scaffold1533, whole genome shotgun sequence.